CUUAUCAACUGUCGAUGGUAGGUUAUGCGCCUACCAUGGUUGCAACGGGUAACGGGGAAUCGGGGUUCGAUUCCGGAGAGGGAGCCUGAGAAACGGCUACCACAUCCAAGGAAGGCAGCAGGCGCGCAAAUUACCCACUCCCGGCACGGGGAGGUAGUGACGAAAAAUAACGAUGCAGGACUCAUCCGAGGCCCUGUGAUUGGAAUGAGUACACUUUAAAUCCUUUAACGAGGACCUAUUGGAGGGCAAGUCUGGUGCCAGCAGCCGCGGUAACUCCAGCUCCAAUAGCGUAUAUUAAAGUUGCUGCGGUUAAAAAGCUCGUAGUUGGAUAUCGGUCGCGAUCAGGUGGUGCCGCCUCGCGGUGUGCACUGCCUCGAUUGGACAAUCCACCGGACUGUCCGGGGUGCUCUUAACCGAGUGUCCUGGGUGGCCGGUACGUUUACUUUGAACAAAUUAGAGUGCUUAAAGCAGGUGCUCCGCGCCUGAAUAUCACAGCAUGGAAUGAUGGAAUAGGACCUCGGUCUUAUUUUGUUGGUUUUCUGGACUUGAGGUAAUGGUUAAUAGAGACAGACGGGGGCAUUCGUACUGCGACGCUAGAGGUGAAAUUCUUGGACCGUCGCAAGACGAACAACUGCGAAAGCAUUUGCCAAGAAUGUUUUCAUUAAUCAAGAACGAAAGUUAGAGGUUCGAAGGCGAUCAGAUACCGCCCUAGUUCUAACCAUAAACGAUGCCAACCAGCGAUCCGCAGACGUUACUUCAAUGACUCUGCGGGCAGCUUCCGGGAAACCAAAGUUUUUGGGUUCCGGGGGAAGUAUGGUUGCAAAGCUGAAACUUAAAGGAAUUGACGGAAGGGCACCACCAGGAGUGGAGCCUGCGGCUUAAUUUGACUCAACACGGGAAACCUCACCAGGCCCGGACACUGGAAGGAUUGACAGAUUGAGAGCUCUUUCUUGAUUCGGUGGGUGGUGGUGCAUGGCCGUUCUUAGUUGGUGGAGCGAUUUGUCUGGUUAAUUCCGAUAACGAACGAGACUCUAGCCUGCUAAAUAGAUGACGUAUCUUCGGGUACGUUACUCUUCUUAGAGGGACAAGUGGCGUCUAGCCAUAUGAAAGUGAGCAAUAACAGGUCUGUGAUGCCCUUAGAUGUCCUGGGCCGCACGCGCGCUACACUGAAAGAAUCAGCGCGUCUUCCCUGUCCGAGAGGACCGGGUAACCGCUGAACCUCUUUCGUGGUAGGGAUUGGGGACUGCAAGGAUCCCCAUGAACCAGGAAUCCCUAGUAGGUGCAAGUCAUUAGCUUGCGUCGAUUACGUCCCUGCCCU
rnacentral:rRNA from 1 species